GGGCGUCGUGCCGUAGCUCCGCCUCGAUAGACCGGCGUUGGGCGCACAGGUGAGCUGUGUCGAGCGGUGGGUGGACCCUCUGCGCCAGCUACGCUCUCGGCGGUGGUGCUGUUUUUUAGCUGGUUGCUUUCUACGUUGCCGCUUCCAGAAUUGUGCAGCUCGGGUGGGUGGAUCUUGGAGUGGCCGCGAGAGAAGUGCAUCCCUUUCCCACAACCAGUUGGAGGUAUUGUGUCCACCAGCCCUGAUCUCCGGAAUCAAACCUUCGCUAUAGCCUCCUAGACUCGUGCCCUGGCCUCUUUGUCUUGUCCUGUUAGAGAAGCAUAAACUGGAGACCACAUCGUCUAUACCGAAUCGCUUAUAUCUAUUCAUUCAGCAUUCAUUGAAUGUUUGUGUGCCAUACAUGAGCCGCUGUGCCCCUGCUCUCCCGGACCUUACAGUAACACAAACAAAGGCUAUGCUGAAUGCUGCAACUGGUGUGAUCCUCUCAAGCAUAAGCCAGGUCAUGUCACUCCUCCAAACUCUCCAGUAGCUUCUCAUCUCAGAGUAAAAGCCCUAGUCCUCAUAACCUACAACACGCACACCUCUUAACUCUCAAACCUCAUUUCUCACUGUUAUUCCCUUCGCUUACUUUACUUUAGCCACAUGGGCCUCCUUACUGUUUCGAGAACAUAAUAGGUCCUUUGUUCCUUUACAUUUUUUGUAAUUUCUGUUCCCUUCUCCAGAGUUAUUAUAAUCUGCUCUCCCUACCUAGUGCCUUGCUGUCUUCAGUCCUUAUUGAAAUAUUUAUUUCUCGGUGAGACUCACCCUAACUAUUCUAUUUAAAAUGGUAACUGUCCUUCCCACCCACAUUUCCUACAUCACCAUUUUACAUACAGUAUGUUUUACUUAUUGGUUUACUGUCUGUCUCCUUACAACUUGAAUAUAAUCUCCAUCAGAACAGGAGUUUGGCUCUAAAAAUGAAUAAGGAAACUCUUUAUGUACUGAUAUGAGAAUACCUCAAAGAAAUAUUGUUAAAUAAAGAACUGACAGCUAGUGAAAUACCUCAUAAAACAUAUAAAAACUAACUUGAAAUAGAUCAUAGUCUUAAAAGUAAGAGCUAAAACUGCAAAGCCUGUAAAGGAAAAAAAAUAGGAAAUCUUACUGACCUUGAGUUUAACAAAGAUUUCAUAGAUUCAACAGCGAAAGCAAGAUCCACAAAAGUAACUUAAAAAAUUGGUCUUCAUUCAAACCAAGAUCUGCUCUUCAAGAGACACUGCUAAGAGAAUAAAAAGAUGAGCCACACACUGGGAGAGAAAAUAACGGCAGAUCAUAUAUCUGAUAAAGGACUUGUAUCUAGAACAUAAAAAGAAUCCUCAAAACUGAAUAAUAAGGAAACAACCCAAUUAUAAACAGAAGAUUUAGACACUUAACAAAAAAAAAGAUAUACAGAUGGCAAAUAAGCACACGAGAUGUUCAACAUCAUUAGUCAUGAGGGGCAUGGAAAUUAAAACUACAAUGAGAUACCACUACAUACCCACUAGAACGGCUAUAAUCAAAAAGACAAUAAUUGCCAAGAAUGUGGUACCAUGUGCUACCAUGUCAUGAGGACCCUUAGCAUCUUUCUGGAGAGGCCCAUGUGGAGGGGAACUGAGGCCUCCUGCCAACAGGCAGUAUUAACUUGACAGUUGUGUGAGUGAGUCAUCGUGGACAUGGAUUCUCCAGCCCCAGUCAAGCCUUCAUGUAACCUGCAGACCCUGCCGACAACCUGACUACAACUUCCUGAGAUACUCCCAGUCCUAAUCACUCAUCUAAACUACUAUCAAAUUCCUCACCUACAGAAACUGAUAAUAAAUGUGUAUUGCUGUUUUAAGCCAC